UAGCAUUUUUUGGAAAUAUGUGCCGGAUAAACUUCGGGAAGAGUGGCAGUGAUCUUUCAUGCGACGAAUUGUAUGGGGCCGUAGCUGGAAAACUUGGCGAUUUGCAAAUCGCCUACUAGCUAGCAUCGUCCAAAAUAACAUGAAAUAUUCAUAAAAGAACACAAACUUAUGGAUCAGCUAAGCUGCCAGAAAGAAGAUGCAGCAACCAAAUAUUACCAGAACCAAUAACAAGAUCCCCAUCAAUAUGCUACAGCAGCAAAAAACAAAUUGCAGCCAAGGUAGUGCAUAGGCAUAUCCGCCAAGGGCCCAUCUACCUAACCAGCAACGAGCAUCCUUGAGAAUUGUGCCUGGAGUUUGGUUAUUAGUCAAAUCUCCAAUGAUGACUUCAGAUCCAAGCAAUGUAAAGUAUUGAGAUGUCGACUUGGAUUUUAUAACAGUGCAGAAAAUUUCUACAGUCGGGCGUUGUUUACUACAGUUUGCAAAAACUUACAGGAAUGCAAAUCGACGGUGGAAAAGUGCUGCCCUAAAUUAAAACGUAGAGUCGGAAGUGAGUCG